rnacentral:rRNA from 1 species
GAUGAACGCUGGCGGCGUGCCUAAUACAUGCAAGUCGAGCGAACAGACGAGGAGCUUGCUCCUCUGACGUUAGCGGCGGACGGGUGAGUAACACGUGGAUAACCUACCUAUAAGACUUGGAUAACUUCGGGAAACCGGAGCUAAUACCGGAUAAUAUAUUGAACCGCAUGGUUCAAUAGUGAAUGACGGUUUUGCUGUCACUUAUAGAUGGAUCCGCGCCGCAUUAGCUAGUUGGUAAGGUAACGGCUUACCAAGGCAACGAUGCGUAGCCGACCUGAGAGGGUGAUCGGCCACACUGGAACUGAGACACGGUCCAGACUCCUACGGGAGGCAGCAGUAGGGAAUCUUCCGCAAUGGGCGAAAGCUUGACGGAGCAACGCCGCGUGAGUGAUGAAGGUCUUCGGAUCGUAAAACUCUGUUAUUGGGGAAGAACAAAUGUGUAAGUAACUAUGCACGUCUUGACGGUACCUAAUCAGAAAGCAACGGCUAACUACGUG